AUACAGAGGGUGCGAGUGUUAAUCGGAAUUACUGGGCGUAAAGCGCACGUAGGUGGAUUGUUAAGUCAGAUGUGAAAGCCCCAGGCUCAACCUGGGAAUGGCAUUCGAUACUGCCUGACUAGAGUAUGAUAGAGGGAAGUGGAAUUUCCGGUGUAGCGGUGAAAUGCGUAGAUAUCGGAAGGAACACCAGUGGCGAAGGCGACUUCCUGGGCCAAUACUGACGCUAAGGUGCGAAAGCGUGGGGAGCAAACAGAAUUAGAUACCCCAGUAGUCC
rnacentral:rRNA from 1 species